rnacentral:rRNA from 1 species
UACGUAGGGUGCGAGCGUUGUCCGGAAUUAUUGGGCGUAAGAGCUCUUAGAGCGGUCUGUCGCGUCUGCUGUGAAAAUCCGGGGCUCAACCCCGGACUUGCAGUGGGUACGGGCAGACUAGAGUGUGGUAGGGGAGACUGGAAUUCCUGGUGUAGCGGUGAAAUGCGCAGAUAUCAGGAGGAACACCGAUGGCGAAGGCAGGUCUCUGGGCCACUACUGACGCUGAGAAGCGAAAGCAUGGGGGAGCGAACAGG